rnacentral:SRP_RNA from 1 species
GCUGGGCGUGGUGGCGGGUGCCUGUAAUCCCAGCUACUUGGGAGGCUGAGGCAGGAGAAUCACUUGAACCUGGGAGGUGGAGGUUGCAGUGAGCUGAGAUCGCACCACUGCCCUCCAGCCUGGGCAACAGAGUGAGACUCUGUCUCAA